rnacentral:lncRNA from 1 species
GUCUUUUUUUUUGUUUGUUAUUUUCUUUGAAUAAGAGGAUUGAGAGUUUUUGAAUAUUUUGAAGUGAAUUAUGGAAUGGAAAUGUGAUUGAUAUUAUUUGAGAAGAAGAAAGAUUGAAUGUUGAAAUCUGAUUGUAGUUCAGUAGAGAGAAUGAGUCUGUAAUUGUGUGAAACACCGUAAUGUGAAUGGCAGUUCUGUGUGAAGAAUUCCAAUGAUUGGAAUGAGGGUAAUUGUGUGCUGAAAGCUGUGAGGGCGCAGUAUUACAGUUGGAGAUUAUGAUGUGAAUAUAAUGGUGGAAAUAGCAGUUAUUGAUAUGAUUGAAUUACUAUAAGGAAGAGACUGAUAAGGUGAAGGAAGAGAUUAUAGUUUCCUUGUAUGUUCAGAUAUUGAAAAUAGAGAUAAUACAUUUAGGAGGUAAUUGAUUGUGUGACCCUAACAUGAACACUUAAGCAACUAAUCAUUCUCCGU